CACGUAGGCACCAAGCGUUGUCCGGAUUUAUUGGGCGUAAAGAGCUCGUAGGCGGUUCGGUAAGUCGGGUGUGAAAACUCUGGGCUCAACCCAGAGCCGCCACCCGAUACUGCUGUGACUUGAGUUCGGUAGGGGAGCGGGGAAUUCCUGGUGUAGCGGCGAAAUGCGCAGAUAUCAGGAGGAACACCAGUGGCGAAGGCGCCGCUCUGGGCCGAGACUGACGCUGAGGAGCGAAAGCGUGGGUAGCAAACAGG
rnacentral:rRNA from 1 species